rnacentral:rRNA from 1 species
UACAGAGGCCUCGAGCGUUAAUCGGAGUUACUGGGCUUAAAGGGUGCGUAGGCUGGCUUACAAGUGCCUUGUGAAAUCCCACGGCUCAACCGUGGAAUUGCUUGGUAGACUGUGAGCCUUGAGGUCGGUAGAGGCCGCUGGAACUCUAGGUGGAGCGGUGAAAUGCGUAGAUAUCUAGAGGAACGCCAAAGGUGAAGACAGGCGGCUGGGCCGAUUCUGACGCUGAGGCACGAAAGCGUGGGGAGCGAACGGG